rnacentral:lncRNA from 1 species
UGGGCUGCUCUUCCCUCCUCGGUGGCUCAGGCUGCGGCAGGGCCCGUGGCCGAUCUUCUCUACCCUCAGGCCGGCGCUGAAUGAACCUAUCGAGUCGACCUCGCCGGAUGAGCUCCUCGAUCUCGUCUCGAAGCUGGAUGCAUUCCUCCGUGUCAUGGCCGUGGUCACGAUGGUAGAGGUAGAACUUGUUUGGGUUGCACUUCCCGGGG